GUUCAUACCUUGCAGGGGAAAUGCCAUGUCAUAAAAGUGGUUUUCCUUGAGUGAGGCUCAUCCAUUAUACUUUGGGUAUGCUGCUGAUCCCUGUGAUUUCCCCAAAUGUGGGGAACUCAGUUGCAUAAUUUAUAUUAAUAAGGGGAUUACAUUUAUGAUUUCCUUGA
rnacentral:snRNA from 1 species